AAGCUUAAUAAUUUAUUCACCUUCCAGAUGAUGUAUAAAUCUUAUGACUGAUUUUGUGGUCCAGGGUCACAUAUGGCUUCAUACUCUGGCCAAUAUCAUGACAUGUGCUUUCUGAAAUUUAAGACAUGUUUUAUUUUGUGUGACGUCUAGGUCUCAGUGGAAUCAGACUGGAGUGUGAGACUGGAGCAGGGGUCAGGAGUUCUGGAGGUCUGCUCUUUCCCAAUGGAUUCAGAUUCUUUUAAUAGUAUAUAGUGGAGAGAGAGUUGGAGACUGAAUGUCGAGGGUCUUCAGGAAGCAGUGGGUGGAGGAAUAAGACAAGUGUUUGCUUUUUCAAAUGAAAACCAGUCUGGCUGUUGUGUUAGUAUUUUGACUGUAAUAAACCAGAAAUGUUUUCUGAGUCGAUCCGUUUGAACCUGGGCAAGUCAUCACAAGAGCUGUGCAUGUACCAGUAUGUUUUGAGUCAAAAAAAAAAAGAAAUGCACAAAUAAACUGCUAGUUACAAGUUUGAAAGAAUUUGAUCAAAACACAGCAAUUGUUUUUAUAUCAUUAAAAUAAAAAAACUGUUUUCUA